ACCCAUCGACUACACCGUGGACGCCGUCCUAUCCUCUAAGCCGUUGGCAUCGAUCUCAACCUGAGUGCACCUCCUGGCCUGGCCUGGCCAACUCUGUAUUUAGGGCCUCACACGUUCUAGAUCAUGGUCACCAUUUCAUCUUCUUGCUCACACGUUGCUAGAGAAAUCUCCUCAUCUGGAACACUGAGCAAUGUAGAGAAUAUGUCGCUGGUGUCGCGUUGGACUAUCCAAUGCUAGUAUUUGAUGUGCUAAAUUGUUCAUGAUGCUUACCAUGCCUAAUUAUAUAAUGGUGGGAAUGAUUUUCAGGAGCCAUACAGAAUCCAAUUUGUGAAAAAUACUUGAGAAAGGGAUGACAAAGUCCAGCCAUGUGUUAUCGAUCACUCAUUGUAAUGC
rnacentral:lncRNA from 1 species